AGCGGCAACCUGCUGGGGUCCUCUUCCACGAUGGAGUUUUGUUCUUUUGCUCAUUGCACUAAAUCCUGUUGCUGAUCCCUGUUUGGGGCCGCACUGCCUUUAUGAAAUGUAACACUCACGGAGAAGGUCUGCAGCUUCACUCCUGGGGUUGGCCAGACCACAAACCCACCAGGAGGAAUGAACAACUCCAGACAGGAGGAACGAACUACUCCAGAUGCACCACCUUAAGAGCCUUGACACUCACUGUGUAGGUCUGCAGCUUCACUCCUGAAACCAGCCAGACCACGAACCCACCAGAAGGAAGAAAUUCCAGACACAUCAUAACAUCAGAAAGAACAAAUUCUGGACACGCCAUCUUUAAAAACUGUCACACUGCGAGGGUCUGCAGCUUCAUUCUUGAAGGCAGUGAGACCAAGAAUCCACCAAUUCUGGGCACAUUAGGGGAAUGUCUCUGCCUCUAGGCCAUUCAACAGACCAUGGGGUGGGGAAGAUGCAGGCUUGUCCUCUACCCUGUGACUGUCUGGGCCACCUAAGAGAGGUAGCCUGGAGGAGUGGCCAGGAGCAGAAACUUUGGCAUCACACUGCCUGAGAUGAUACCUGCUAUUAUUUACCAGUUUUGGGGCCUUGGAUAAGAUUCCUGACUUGUUUCAUCCUACUGGUUCUUUUCAAAUUAUACCUGUGAUAAUUCAGCUGUUAAAAGAGGAGUUUUGAAGUCCUGUUAAUACGUGACUCGAGGAAAAUCCAAGCAUCCACACCCCUCACUGAGAGUCCAGCCAUCACCCUGCUGCCAAUCUCAACCUUCUGAAACCCACAUUGGAUGCUGUCACUCUUCUGCUUCUUCCCAUUGCCUCCAGAUAUUUUGGAAGAUCCCUGUUCUGUAACUCUACAUUCUUAUCUGCAAGGUAUCACUUAUUUCAGCCAGUUAAUAACCACCUCUCCUUGUCAAGAUGUUAUAUCUGAGACACUCCCAAAAGUUUCUGCUGGUUUUUCUUCCUUUGUCUUUGGCUUUCCUUAGGGAUAUUGGGCAAAUAUCCCUGACAACUUAAACCUUGAUGUGACAAAUAGAGAUUUCACAUUUAUGAUUAAACCAUCAUGAUUCCACAAAGGGACAACCUGAGCCUUCAUUUGGUUUGGGCUUGGAGCCAACAGAAGUUGAGUCAGACACUCCUAGUGAGUAAAGGCUCGCGGGCUCAACUUGGAAUCGAGCAGGGCAGAGGGGCCUUUGGUUGUAGAGCUGUACUCAAAGAACAUAACACUCCUCCUGCCAAACCAAACUUAAUGGCUCUGCCCUCCAAAAGUCACAGCUUUUAUCAACCAACUGGUAUUCUACUGUGAGAUGCACAAUCUAUCCCACUUUGAUCUCAGCAACAAUAUGCUUGAGGCAAUGAUCUCAAUUUUGCAAUCAUAGCUGAAUUGAUGUAAAACUGGGGACAAUC
rnacentral:lncRNA from 1 species